rnacentral:tRNA from 1 species
CACUGUACAGCUACCCUAGCGUUAACCUUUUAAGUUAGAGAUGGGGGACACACCUCCUACAGUGA